GUUCUUUCCAAGACCCUGUCCAUCUAGCCGUUGCGAGCACCCUCCGUCUUCCCAGUAAGCUCCCAAUAACAUAGGGGCAAAGGCCCCGGGACCCUCCUGAGAAAGUCUGCAGAGGAAACAGGACACAGAGCGGACCACGGCGGCAGGAACGUCAGCUGAGCUCCGAGAGGCUGGAAGCACGGAGCGGGAAGUGGCACUUCCCCUGCGUUUUUAUGUUUAGCUGGGGUUUAAUUAAUAACCGGCAAACAAGUCUAUAAUUAACUCGGUUUCCCUUUUGGCCAGCCAAGGGAAUAAUAAUAAAGCUGCUUUUUAAGUCCUCCGUGGUGCUGGA
rnacentral:lncRNA from 1 species